rnacentral:rRNA from 1 species
AGAGUUGAUCAUGGCUCAGGAUGAACGCUAGCGGCAGGCUUAACACAUGCAAGUCGAGGGGCAGCGGGAUGUAGCAAUACAUUGCCGGCGACCGGCGGAUGGGUGCGUAACGCGUAUGCAACCUACCUUAUACAGGGGAAUAACCUUUCGAAAGGGAGACUAACACCCCAUAGUAUUGAUUUAAGGCAUCUUAGAUUAAUUAAAUAUUUAUAGGUAUAAGAUGGGCAUGCGUAUGAUUAGCUAGUUGGUAAGGUAACGGCUUACCAAGGCGACGAUCAUUAGGGGUUCUGAGAGGAAGGUCCCCCACACUGGUACUGAGACACGGACCAGACUCCUACGGGAGGCAGCAGUGAGGAAUAUUGGUCAAUGGGCGCAAGCCUGAACCAGCCAUGCCGCGUGCAAGGAAGACGGCCUUAUGGGUUGUAAACUGCUUUUACAUAAGACUAACCGUAUAUUUGCGAAUAUACCUGAAUGUAUUAUGAGAAUAAGGAUCGGCUAACUCCGUGCCAGCAGCUGC